UCAGGGGGCCGGGCAGCCGCGUUGGGGCUUGCGCUCCACCGAGGAAAGUCCGGGCUCCACGAAGCAAGGGUGGCGGGUAACGCCCGCCGGGGGUGACCCCAGGGAAAGUGCCACAGAGAGAAUACCGCCGAUGGAACGCCCGCUCAGGCGGGUUUCACAGGCAAGGGUGAAAGGGUGCGGCAAGAGCGCACCGGGGCGCUGGCAACAGGGCCCGCAUGGCAAACCCCACCCGGAGCAAGACCGAAUAGGGGCGGCGCGCCUGCGUCCUUCGGGGCAAGGGCAGGUGAGUUUCGCACCAGUCGCCCGGGUUGGUUGCUUGAGCCAUGCGGCAACGCAUGGCGUAGAUGAAUGGCUGCCAUUGCGGAUACGGUCUCCGGUGAGAUACCGUCCGCGAUACAGAACCCGGCUUACAGGCCCCCUGACACU
rnacentral:RNase_P_RNA from 1 species